CCCUACGGGGGGCAGCAGUAGGGAAUAUUGCUCAAUGGGGGAAACCCUGAAGCAGCAACGCCGCGUGGAGGAUGAAGGUUUUCGGAUUGUAAACUCCUUUUGUUAGAGAAGAUAAUGACGGUAUCUAACGAAUAAGCACCGGCUAACUCCGUGCCAGCAGCCGCGGUAAUACGGAGGGUGCAAGCGUUGUCCGGAUUUACUGGGUGUAAAGGGCGUGUAGCCGGGCUGACAAGUCAGAUGUGAAAUUCCGGGGCUCAACCCCGGACCUGCAUUUGAAACUGUUGGUCUUGAGUAUCGGAGAGGCG
rnacentral:rRNA from 1 species